rnacentral:rRNA from 1 species
UGAGGAAUAUUGCACAAUGGGCGCAAGCCUGAUGCAGCGACGCCGCGUGAGUGAUGAAGGCCCUAGGGUUGUAAAGCUCUUUUGUGCGGGAAGAUAAUGACGGUACCGCAAGAAUAAGCCCCGGCUAACUUCGUGCCAGCAGCCGCGGUAAUACGAAGGGGGCUAGCGUUGCUCGGAAUCACUGGGCGUAAAGGGUGCGUAGGCGGGUUUCUAAGUCAGAGGUGAAAGCCUGGAGCUCAACUCCAGAACUGCCUUUGAUACUGGAAGUCUUGAGUUCGGGAGAGGUGAGUGGAACUGCGAGUGUAGAGGUGAAAUUCGUAGAUAUUCGCAAGAACACCAGUGGCGAAGGCGGCUCACUGGCCCGAUACUGACGCUGAGGCACGAAAGCGUGGGGAGCAAACA